GAUGAACGCUGGCGGCGUGCCUAAUACAUGCAAGUCGAGCGAACAGACGAGGAGCUUGCUCCUCUGACGUUAGCGGCGGACGGGUGAGUAACACGUGGAUAACCUACCUAUAAGACUGGGAUAACUUCGGGAAACCGGAGCUAAUACCGGAUAAUAUAUUGAACCGCAUGGUUCAAUAGUGAAAGACGGUUUUGCUGUCACUUAUAGAUGGAUCCGCGCCGCAUUAGCUAGUUGGUAAGGUAACGGCUUACCAAGGCAACGAUGCGUAGCCGACCUGAGAGGGUGAUCGGCCACCCUGGAACUGAGACACGGCCCAGACUCCUACGGGAGGCAGCAGUAGGGAAUCUUCCGCAAUGGGCGAAAGCCUGACGGAGCAACGCCGCGUGAGUGAUGAAGGUCUUCGGAUCGUAAAACUCUGUUAUUAGGGAAGAACAAAUGUGUAAGUAACUAUGCACGUCUUGACGGUACCUAAUCAGAAAGCCACGGCUAACUACGUG
rnacentral:rRNA from 1 species